UCCCUGGUGGCUCAGAUGGUAAAGUGUCUGCCUACAAUGCAGGAGACCCAGGUUCAAUCCCUGGGUUGGGAA
rnacentral:tRNA from 1 species